rnacentral:rRNA from 1 species
GCUUAACACAUGCAAGUCGGACGGCAGCGCGGGGAGCUUGCUCUCUGGCGGCGAGUGGCGGACGGGUGAGUAACGCGUGGGAAUCUGCCCUGUAGUGGGGGAUAACCCGAGGAAACUCGGGCUAAUACCGCAUACGACCUUAGGGUGAAAGUGGGUCCUUUUAGGGCACACGCUAUGGGAUGAGCCUGCGUCCGAUUAGCUAGUUGGUGUGGUAAAGGCACACCAAGGCGACGAUCGGUAGCUGGUCUGAGAGGAUGAUCAGCCACACUGGGGCUGAGACACGGCCCAGACUCCUACGGGAGGCAGCAGUGGGGAAUAUUGGACAAUGGGGGCAACCCUGAUCCAGCAAUGCCGCGUGUGUGAAGAAGGCCUGCGGGUUGUAAAGCACUUUCAGUGGGGAAGAUGGGCUGCGUGUAACGAGCGUGGUUUGACGUUACCCACAGAAGAAGCACCGGCUAACUCCGUGCCAGCAGCCGCGGUAAUACGGAGGGUGCGAGCGUUAAUCGGAAUUACUGGGCGUAAAGCGCGCGUAGGCGGCUGGGUAAGUCAGAUGUGAAAGCCCCGGGCUCAACCUGGGAAUUGCAUUUGAUACUGCCUGGCUAGAGUCUGUCAGAGGGUGGCGGAAUUCCGGGUGUAGCGGUGAAAUGCGUAGAUAUCCGGAGGAACACCAGUGGCGAAGGCGGCCACCUGGGGCGAGACUGACGCUG